UGCUUCGACCAAGGUUUGACUUGAGCGCCAGCGAGAGAGCGUUGCCGCAGGCAACGACCCGAAGGGCGAAGCGUGCAGCGCUGAGUAAUCCUUCCCCCACCACCA
rnacentral:sRNA from 1 species